rnacentral:lncRNA from 10 species
UGAUCCGCCCGCCUCAGCCUCCCAAGUGCUGGGAUUAUAGGCGUGAACCACCGCACCCGGCCGGCAAUUAUUUUUAAAAUGUAAAAAUGAGACUGGUGAAAAUAUAUUUAUGGACUGGUGCUUGGGAAUCACUACUUAGAAGAUAAAAAUAUGAUCUUCAUUUCUAAUCACUUAUAACUGUUGAAUAUCUUUAUUUUUUUCUAUCUAGAACUUAUGUUUAAAUCUGUUUUAAAAGUUUCAAAUAAAACUGUAGUUUCCUCCACAUUGAAGAAAACUUCAAACUUAGGUGUAACAUGCAAUGUUUUAUUUAUUUGCUUCUAUUAUCUUCCUCUGGUUAUAUUUUGUCAUAAAAAUUACUUUGCCUCAUUCCCCAAAACUAUUCGAGGUGGCUUAUGGCAUAUUGUAGUA